UGGGGGAUAUUGCACAAUGGGCGAAAGCCUGAUGCAGCGACGCCGCGUGGGGGAUGAAGGCUUUCGGGUUGUAAACCUCUUUCGCUAUCGAACAAGGCCCGCUUAGGGUGGGUUGAGGGUAGGUGGAGAAGAAGCGCCGGCUAACUACGUGCCAGCAGCCGCGGUAAUACGUAGGGCGCGAGCGUUGUCCGGAAUUAUUGGGCGUAAAGGGCUUGUAGGCGGCUUGUUGCGCCUGCUGUGAAAACGCGGGGCUUAACUUCGCGCGUGCAGUGGGUACGGGCAGGCUUGAGUGUGGUAGGGGUGACUGGAAUGCCUGGUGUAGCGGUGGAAUGCGCAGAUAUCUGGAGGAACACCGAUGGCGAAGGCAGGUCACUGGGCCAUUACUGACGCUGAGGAGCGAAAGCAUGGGUAGCGAACAGG
rnacentral:rRNA from 1 species